rnacentral:rRNA from 1 species
AGGACGAACGCUGGCGGCGUGCUUAACACAUGCAAGUCGAACGGUGAAGCCCUUCGGGGUGGAUCAGUGGCGAACGGGUGAGUAACACGUGGGCAAUCUGCCCUGCAUUCUGGGACAAGCCUUGGAAACGAGGUCUAAUACCGGAUACGACGCAUCUCCGCAUGGGGUGUGCGUGGAAAGCUCCGGCGAUGCAGGAUGAGCCCGCGGCCUAUCAGCUUGUUGGUGGGGUAACGGCCUACCAAGGCGACGACGGGUAGCCGGCCUGAGAGGGCGACCGGCCACACUGGGACUGAGACACGGCCCAGACUCCUACGGGAGGCAGCAGUGGGGGAAUAUUGCACAAUGGGCGAAAGCCUGAUGCAGCGACGCCGCGUGAGGGAUGACGGCCUUCGGGUUGUAAACCGUCUUUCAGCAGGGAAGAAGCGCGAGUGACGGUACCUGCAGAAGAAGCACCGGCUAACUACGUGCCAGCAGCCGCGGU